rnacentral:rRNA from 1 species
GACGAACGCUGGCGGCGUGCUUAACACAUGCAAGUCGAACGGAAAGGCCCUGCGUUUGUGGGGUGCUCGAGUGGCGAACGGGUGAGUAACACGUGAGUAACCUGCCCUUGUCAUUGGGAUAACUUCAGGAAACUGGGGCUAAUACCGGGUAGGAGCUCCUGCUGCAUGGUGGGGGAUGGAAAGUUUCGGCGGUUGGGGAUGGACUCGCGGCUUAUCAGCUUGUUGGUGGGGUAGUGGCUUACCAAGGGUUUGACGGGUAGCCGGCCUGAGCGGGUGACCGGCCACAUUGGGACUGCGGUACGGCCCAGUCUCCUACGGGCGGCAGUAGUGGGGAAUAUUGCGCAAUGGGCGCAAGCCUGAUGCAGCAGCGCCGCGUGCGUGAUAACGGGCUUCUGGUUGUAAACCGCUUUCGCCUGUGCCGAAGCGUGAGUGACGGUAAUGGGUAAGGAAGCACCGGCUAACUACGUG